CCUACGGGUGGCUUCAGUGGGGAAUAUUGGACAAUGGGCGAAAGCCUGAUCCAGCCAUGCCGCGUGUGUGAAGAAGGCCUUCGGGUUGUAAAGCACUUUCAGUGGGGAAGAAAGCCUUGGGGCUAAUACCCUCGAGGAAGGACAUCACCCACAGAAGAAGCACCGGCUAACUCCGUGCCAGCAGCCGCGGUAAUACGGAGGGUGCGAGCGUUAAUCGGAAUUACUGGGCGUAAAGCGCGCGUAGGCGGUCUGAUAAGCCGGUUGUGAAAGCCCCGGGCUCAACCUGGGAACGGCAUCCGGAACUGUCAGGCUAGAGUGCAGGAGAGGAAGGUAGAAUUCCCGGUGUAGCGGUGAAAUGCGUAGAGAUCGGGAGGAAUACCAGUGGCGAAGGCGGCCUUCCGGACUGACACUGACGCUGAGGUGCGAAAGCGUGGGUAGCAAACAGGAUUAGAUACCCUGUAGUC
rnacentral:rRNA from 1 species